CCAGUUACAGUAGUUCCAGCGCUGACUCCAGCUGUAAAAGAGAACAUGUUGUAUAAGGGAGUAAUAAACUAACUCUGAGGCUGAGACGUCACUCAGGACUGUUUAGUCUGAAAAGCCUGUAGAACACGAGAGACUGAAACUCUACACAGAAACGUCUCACUAAGACAGUAACAGUGAUGAAUAUGAGUGAGAGGAAGAGGAAGAUUCUGUUCUUCAUCAGUCACUGAUCUAACACACUGUGUGUCUCUGAGUCUGUAAAGAUCAUCUUAAACUCAACACAGAUGUGAGAGGAACAACUCACCAGGCGUCAGAGUGAAGAUGAUGAUCCAGAUGAUGGUCAUGAUUCAAACACCUAACAGGCUGCUGUGAUGAGGUCAUUGAGAACGGCUCCUCCUCUUCCUCUGGUCUUUCUGCUCAUGACUGCUGGAGCUUUUGGAACAGAGUGGAGUGUGAAGUACAACCAACAGGAAAUCUGGGCUUUAAAAGGAUCCACAGUGUUUAUGAACGGAACUUUUACUCACCCAGAACG